rnacentral:rRNA from 1 species
GGUAAUUCUGGAGCUAAUACACGCAAUAAAGCUCCGACCUUACGGGACGAGCGCAUUUAUUAGACCAAAACCAAUCGGGCUUCGGCCUGAMACGUUGGUGACUCUGAAUAACUGAGCUGAUCGCAUGGUCUUUGUACCGGCGACGCAUCUUUCAAGUGUCUGCCUUAUCAACUUUCGAUGGUAGUUUAUGUGCCUACCAUGGUUGUUACGGGUAKCGGAGAAUAAGGGUUCGACUCCGGAGAGGGAGCCYGAGAAACGGCUACCACAUCCAAGGAAGGCAGCAGGCGCGCAAAUUACCCACUCUCGGCACGAGGAGGUAGUGACGAAAAAUAACGAGGCGGUUCUCUAUGAGGCCCGCUAUCGGAAUGGGUACAAUUUAAACCCUUUAACGAGGACCUAUGAGAGGGCAAGUCUGGUGCCAGCAGCCGCGGUAAUUCCAGCUCUCAAGGUGUAUAUCGCCRUUGCUGCGGUUAAAAAGCUCGUAGUUGGAUCUGCGCCUUCGGACUCGGUCCGCCCAACGGGUGUGAACUGGGAUCCAAGGCUUAUACUGCUGGUUUUCCCUUGAUGCUCUUUACUGGGUGUCUUGGGUGGCUAGCGAGUUUACUUUGAAAAAAUUAGAGUGCUUAACACAGGCUAACGCCUGAAUACUUGUGCAUGGAAUAAUAGAAUAAGACCNCGGUUCUAUUUUAUUGGUUUUCGGAACUGUGAUAAUGGUUAAGAGGGACAGACGGGGGCAUUCGGUAUCGCUGCGUGAGAGGUGAAAUUCUUGGACCGCAGCGAGACGCCCUACUGCGAAAGCAUUUGCCAAGAAUGUCUUCGUUAAUCAAGAACGAAAGUCAGAGGUUCGAAGGCGAUCAGAUACCGCCCUAGUUCUGACCGUAAACGAUGCCAACUAGCGAUCCGCCGGUGGUAAUUACGCCCCGGCGGGGAGCUUCCCGGAAACGAAAGUCUUCCGGUUCCGGGGGAAGUAUGGUUGCAAAGCUGAAACUUAAAGGAAUUGACGGAAGGGCACCACCAGGAGUGGAGCCUGCGGCUUAAUUUGACUCAACACGGGAAAACUCACCCGGCCCGGACACCGUAAGGAUUGACAGAUUGAGAGCUCUUUCUUGAUUCGGUGGUUGGUGGUGCAUGGCCGYUCUUAGUUGGUGGAGYGAUUYGUCUGGUUUAUUCCGAUAACGAACGAGACUCUGGCCUACUAAAUAGAGACAGGAUUAUUACUGUCCUGGAUUCUUCUUAGA